CCUAGUAACGGCGAGUGAAGCGGCAACAGCUCAAAUUUGAAAGCUAGCCUUCGGGUUCGCAUUGUAAUUUGUAGAGGAUGAUUUGGGGAAGCCGCCUGUCUAAGUUCCUUGGAACAGGACGUCAUAGAGGGUGAGAAUCCCGUAUGUGACAGGAAAUGGCACCCUAUGUAAAUCUCCUUCGACGAGUCGAGUUGUUUGGGAAUGCAGCUCUAAAUGGGAGGUAAAUUUCUUCUAAAGCUAAAUAUUGGCGAGAGACCGAUAGCGCACAAGUAGAGUGAUCGAAAGAUGAAAAGCACUUUGGAAAGAGAGUUAAAAAGCACGUGAAAUUGUUGAAAGGGAAGCGCUUGCAAUCAGACUUGUUUAAACUGUUCGGCCGGUCUUCUGACCGGUUUACUCAGUUUGGACAGGCCAGCAUCAGUUUCGGCGGCCGGAUAAAGGCUCUGGGAAUGUGGCCUCCACUUCGGUGGAGGUGUUAUAGCCCAGGGUGUAAUACGGCCAGCCGGGACUGAGGUCCGCGCUUCGGCUAGGAUGCUGGCGUAAUGGUUGUAAGCGACCCGU
rnacentral:rRNA from 1 species